rnacentral:lncRNA from 1 species
ACUAAGGCACUGAAACAAGAAGCAUUUAAAAAAAACAAAAACAUGAAAAGGAAAAUAAAAAGUCAAGGUCAAUAGACAUUAACUAUAAGAAGAAGCAGAGAGGGAAAGAACUCACAUGUGAGACAUGGAGAAGUAGAGGAAGCAUAAUUGAAUCCUAGGAUUGAAAUCCCAUUAGAUUGGAGCCAUGUAUCAUACAUAUAAGAUAUGUAACCUUUAUUUGCCAAGAUCUAGUACUCAAGAGCCAAUACUCAUAAUGCAAAAAAAG